rnacentral:rRNA from 1 species
UCGCGUCUACCAUGCAAGUUCGAACGAUGAACCACUUCGGUGGGGAUUAGUGGCGAACGGGUGAGUAACACGUGGGCAAUCUGCCCUGCACUCUGGGACAAGCCCUGGAAACGGGGUCUAAUACCGGAUACUGACCCGCCUGGGCAUCCAGGCGGUUCGAAAGCUCCGGCGGUGCAGGAUGAGCCCGCGGCCUAUCAGCUUGUUGGUGAGGUAACGGCUCACCAAGGCGACGACGGGUAGCCGGCCUGAGAGGGCGACCGGCCACACUGGGACUGAGACACGGCCCAGACUCCUACGGGAAGGCAGCAGA